GUGUAUUACACAAAGGGGUUUUCAGCUCCGAUCAUUCGAUUCACUUUCCUCUUCUGCUUCUUCCCAGGUAUGUGUACUCAAAUCUUGUGAAAUUUUUUGAUGUGAAUUUAGUUAAAAGAAUAAAUUCAUAUAUUUCUUACUUUUUGCAUUUGAAUGAGCAGAAAGAACAAAGAAUUAGUGUAGAAUUAGUGUAGGAAGCCAUGGAUACAAGAAUGAGGAGCUAGGUGAAAAAGCUAGAGAAGCCAAGCAAAGAUUGGAUCACAAGCUAAGAAGGUAAUUUCAGCUGAUCUGUGAAUAAUUUUUCUCAGUUUGCUUACUUUUAGUUUACUACAUAAAUUUAGGUAAAAGUUUUCAUUUCACAUGUUGCACAAGAGUUAAUUGCUAUGCUAAUCAUGUUACUGUAUUAAGAAGAGGAUGUGUAUCUGCUCUUUUUUUUUUUUUUUUUUUUAAAAAAUCUUUUCUUUUUGUGUGUUUCGUUCUAUAACUCAAGAAAAUCGUGAAAUUCUAUUUGGGUAAUUUUUAGGGAAGAUCGGGUUAAGGUCUGCGUACACACUACCAUCCCUAGACUCCACUUGUGGGAUUACACUGAGGAUGAUGGGUAAGGUUUGUUGUUGUUUAGGGAAGGUCAUAGGCCUCUAGUCAAUGUUAACUCAUAAGACUCCAAAAUCUAAUUAGGAGAGCUUAUUUUGCUUGCCUUCUUGAGAUUUUUGCAUACUAUAUUUUCAUAUUUUUGGUUAAUCAUUUGGUAUCCGGAACCAACUGGCUGGACUAAUCCAUAUAUGCGUCACAUAUGGUCCACUAAAAAGGGUACGCUCUGUACUCAAUGUUAACUUACAAGACUCCAAAGUCUAAUUAGGAGACCAUAUUUUGCUUGUAGUCUAGAGAUUUUUCCGUACUCUAAUAUAAAGAAAGAACAUUCUCACUUCUUCAAGAUAAAGUAAAACUAAGCUUUUAGCUAAAAUUAUCCCUUAUGUUUGGGUAGGUAAAAAGGCGUCAUCCAUAUACAACCUUGUGCCCCUUUUAACCUUUAACUUUCCAAAGCUUGAGCGGAUUUAGUUCGAGUAAUUGAAUGAACUAAAGAGAUGCUAAAACUAAUGGACAAACCGCAAGUGACUUGCCCAUGAGAGGGCGAUAGCAAGUUUCGUCUAUUCUAAAUUUUCAUAGAUAUAGUUAUUUUCAAUAACAGGCAUCUAUACGUAACUCAGGUUGUCAGUUUGCUCGGGCUAUUUUACCUCUGUAAUGAAUAGAGAUUGUAUGUACUUAAAUGAUGUUAGAAUUUCUUCGCUCCUACUCGUCAACUUUCUGGUAACAUGGCAAGGGUAUUAAAAACUUAUGUGCAGUUGUGAUCCUCUGUUGGAAAUCACUGGUUUGAUCUUCUUUAUAUAAAGUCCUAAAAUGCGUUUCUGAGGGUAAGUUGGCCUCUUGAUGCGAGUGAAUUCUAACUUGUAGGAUUUGAUAAGCAUCUUGUUUUGAGCUUGCCUUGGGAAGUUAUCCAAUGACGGAAGGUGGGAUAAUGUGAAAAAUGAGGAUUUUGGUGGAGGUUUGAUCUUUUUUCCACAUCUGACUACUGCCCUUAAAAGGAACUUCUCUUUUGUUAACUGACUUAAUAUGUUGUGCUUAAGAAAUAUAUAUAUAAAGAUUCUGUUUGAUCAUCUUCCCACGUACAAAAUCUGCAUUCUGCAUUCUGGUAAUUUGUUUCUCCUAGUCAUGAGGUCAUAAAUUUUAUUUUACUACUUACCUCUGGGCCGUCUAGGAACCUGGGGUGGUGGGCGGCGGAGAAGAUUUAUCAUCAGUUCACUGUUACGUAUUUGUUUGUUGGAUUUCAUCAGUUGUAUGGGAUGGGGUGAAGUACAGAGUUGGGUGUUCUUUUUGCCUCUCAUGUGGUUUUCAAAUGUGAGCUGCUGUUUCUUUGCGUAGUCUGUUAGUUAAAUCCGCUCAAAUGUUUCUUACUGAAAGGGUAAGGAUGCUCAGAAUUAUAAAUGGAGGACCAUCUUGACCUAUCUUUAAACGUAAAGGAUAAUUUUGGCUAAAAAUUGAAGUAAAACUUGCAUGUCAUGCUAAUUAUAGGAACAUUCUUGACCGAAGUUUCACUCCUUUUAGCUUUGUUAUAAAAUGAAAUUACAGAUACUCAAGCAUUUAUAAUAUUUCGUUGAUAAAGGAUUUCGUCGCAUAUUGGAUAGCAAUAAUGGAAAAUACCUACUCACACUCAUUGUUUUACCCCGAACUACAUUUCUUUAUCAUGGUUAUUUGAUAAAUUGGACUAUGUGAAAAGUACAUGUCAUGUAUUGGUUGAUUUAGUACAAACGCAUGGUGUGAGUAAGUUUUUCCCAUACCAACAACCAUGUGAUUGUUUUUUCUUAAGGCAUGCAUCUCAAUAUUAAAUCCCCAUAUUCGGUGCGGAGUUAAAGCAUUCUAUGUUAAUGUGAUGUCGGUGAGUUUAUACUUUCAUUGUGGUUACUGAAAACAGGAGAAGUAAAGAAGAAAAAGUUAAUGAUGUCGAAAACGGGCAACUAGAAUCAAAUACUUUGCAGAAGAAUUC
rnacentral:lncRNA from 1 species